CAGCAACCUCUGGACAACACAUGUGGGUUCUAUGUGUCGCACAACCUUAUGCUUGCCAUGGGACAGACCAACUUGGAUGCUCCUGAGGAUUUUGAGGUGCUGACCAUUCCAAUCAACUUGGAGGAUAUUAGAGAGAAGAUCGCCAUGUUCAUCAUGUCGCAGAUCGCUGAUCCAAAAGGCGAGUUUCAUUUGUCCAGCAGUUGAAAAGAUGUAUGAAUAUUUUGGGACGCGCGCUUUACUUAAUUAAGUAUAUAUGGUUUGAACGAUCGAGCCUGAUGAGGCUGUUGUAUGAUCUCACACAGUAUAUAUAAUUUUUAUCUUAAUUGAACUUAAUUAUUUUGCUUUGUCGUCA